ACGGUGAGAGACCAGUUGUAAAGCUGUCCGUGUUUUCCGUUCCAAACAAAGUGGAAUCCCAGCCUCCCCUUGCAGAGAGACCAUGGAGAAACCAGGGAGUCAUCUAGUGGAGACGUAUGUCUCAGGAACCUGUGACCAAGCUCACCAAGGGCCCAUUGGUUCUGAGGACGGUGGGACGGAAGGAAACUCUCCAGUGACUGAUCAUCGUGAGAGAAAACGGCCAUUGGCAGGAGCUGACGCCAGAGAUGUGGGGGAGGAAGCUCAGAAUAUGCUGGAACAUUUUGGAGGUAA